UACGGAGGGUGCAAGCGUUAAUCGGAAUUACUGGGCGUAAAGCGUGCGCAGGUGGUUUGUUAAGUCUGUCGUGAAAUCCCCGGGCUCAACCUGGGAAUGGCGAUGGAUACUGGGCAGCUAGAGUGUGUCAGAGGAUGGUGGAAUUCCCGGUGUAGCGGUGAAAUGCGUAGAGAUCGGGAGGAACAUCAGUGGCGAAGGCGGCCAUCUGGGACAACACUGACGCUGAAGCACGAAAGCGUGGGGAGCAAACAGG
rnacentral:rRNA from 1 species